rnacentral:rRNA from 1 species
AGAGUUUGAUCAUGGCUCAGGAUGAACGCUGACAGAAUGCUUAACACAUGCAAGUCGACUGGAAUUCACCUUCGGGUGAUAGUACGGUGGCGGACGGGUGAGUAACGCGUAAAGAACUUGCCCCUUAGCCCGGGACAACUGUUGGAAACGACAGCUAAUACCGGAUAUUAUGCGCAGGCGGCAUCGUCUGUGUAUGAAAGCUAUAUGCGCUAGGGGAGAGCUUUGCGUCCCAUUAGCUAGUUGGUAGGGUAACGGCCUACCAAGGCAACGAUGGGUAGCCGGCCUGAGAGGGUGAACGGCCACAAGGGGACUGAGACACGGCCCUUACUCCUACGGGAGGCAGCAGUGGGGAAUAUUGGACAAUGGACCAAAAGUCUGAUCCAGCAAUUCUGUGUGCACGAUGAAGGCCUUCGGGUUGUAAAGUGCUUUCAGCAGGGAAGAAGCAAGUGACGGUACCUGCAGAAGAAGCGACGGCUAAAUACGUGCCAGCAGCCGCGGUAAUACGUAUGUCGCAAGCGUUAUCCGGAAUUAUUGGGCAUAAAGGGCAUCUAGGCGGCUAACUAAGUCUGAUGUGAAAAUGCGGGGCUCAACCCCGUAUUGCGUUGGAAACUGGUUGGCUAGAGUACUGGAGAGGUGGGCGGAACUACAAGUGUAGAGGUGAAAUUCGUAGAUAUUUGUAGGAAUGCCGAUAGGGAAGCCAGCUCACUGGACAGAUACUGACGCUAAAGUGCGAAAGCGUGGGGAGCAAACAGGAUUAGAUACCCUGGUAGUCCACGCCGUAAACGAUGAUNACUGGGUGUGGGGGGUCGAACCCCUGUGCCGAAGCUAAUGCGAUAAGUGA